rnacentral:rRNA from 1 species
GACGAACGAUGGAGGCGUGCUUAACACAUGCAAGUCGAACGGAAAGGCCCUGCUUUUGUGGGGUGCUCGAGUGGCGAACGGGUGAGUAACACGUGAGUAACCUGCCCUUGACUUUGGGAUAACUUCAGGAAACUGGGGCUAAUAUCGGAUAGGAGCUCCUGCUGCAUGGUGGGGGUUGGAAAGUUUCGGCGGUUGGGGAUGGACUCGCGGCUUAUCAGCUUGUUGGUGGGGUAGUGGCUUACCAAGGCUUUGACGGGUAGCCGGCCUGAGAGGGUGACCGGCCACAUUGGGACUGAGAUACGGCCCAGACUCCUACGGGAGGCAGCAGUGGGGAAUAUUGCACAAUGGGCGGAAGCCUGAUGCAGCAACGCCGCGUGCGGGAUGACGGCCUUCGGGUUGUAAACCGCUUUCGCCUGUGACGAAGCGUGAGUGACGGUAAUGGGUAAAGAAGCACCGGCUAACUACGUG